UACGUAGGGUGCAAGCGUUGUCCGGAAUUAUUGGGCGUAAAGAGCUCGUAGGCGGCUUGUCGCGUCGGCUGUGAAAACCUGAGGCUCAACCUCGGGCUUGCAGCCGAUACGGGCAAGCUAGAAUUCGGUAGGGGAGACUGGAAUUCCUGGUGUAGCGGUGAAAUGCGCAGAUAUCAGGAGGAACACCGGUGGCGAAGGCGGGUCUCUGGGCCGAAAUUGACGCUGAGGAGCGAAAGCGUGGGGAGCGAACAGG
rnacentral:rRNA from 1 species